rnacentral:rRNA from 1 species
CGGACGGGUGAGUAUCGCGUAGGGAUUUGUCGUUGGGUGGGGGAUAACCUUGGGAAACUGGGGCUAAUACCGCAUGACGCCUUUGGGCCAAAGCAGAGAUGCGCCUGAUGAGGAGCCUGCGUCCGAUUAACUAGUUGGUUGGGUAAAGGCUGACCAAGGCAUCGAUCGGUAGCUGGUCUGAGAGGAUGAUCAGCCACACUGGGACUGAGACACGGCCCAG